ensembl:lncRNA
AUGUUCAAGAUUAUGGGAUUCAGGUUCAAGAUGACUCUGAUGGGAAUUAUGGGGUUCAGGUUCAGGAUGAGUUUCAAGAUGACUCUGAUGGGAAUUAUGGGAUUCAGGUUCAGGAUGGGUUUCAAGAUGACUCUGAUGGGAAUUAUGGGAUUCAGGUUCAAGAUGACUCUGAUGGGAAUUAUGGGAUUCAGGUUCAAGAUGAUGGGAUUCAGGUUCAAGAUGACUCUGAUGGGAAUUAUGGGAUUCAGGUUCAGAGUGUUCCUGCUUUGGAAGAAGAGGAGCAGGGAGGCUUUCCCACGGCAGGGAAUGGUGUUGAUGAUACUGAAGCUAGCCAGGUGCAAAUUGACACAGGAAGGGAGGACAGCUCCCAGUCUGAUAGCAUACAGACAGACGCUAAUGCUAACAAGCUGUCUGGCCUUGAUGAAACAGAAUCUUUGGAUCGAGCUGGCUGUUUGGAAUUCUGGGUUUGCAGGAGUGUUAGAAUAG